rnacentral:rRNA from 1 species
UACGUAGGGGGCAAGCGUUGUCCGGAAUCAUUGGGCGUAAAGAGCGUGUAGGCGGCUCGGUAAGUCCGCUCUGAAAGCCCGGGGCUCAACCCCGGGAGGCGGGCGGAUACUGUCGGGCUAGAGUCCGGAAGAGGCGAGUGGAAUUCCUGGUGUAGCGGUGAAAUGCGUAGAGAUGCGGAGGAACACCGAUGGCGAAGGCAGCCCCCUGGGCUAACACUGACGCUCAGGCACGAAAGCGUGGGGAGCAACAGG